rnacentral:rRNA from 1 species
UGUUUAACAAAGAGAAGCGAAACUGCGAAGUGGNGCAAAACUCUAAAAAACAUCUCAGUUCAGAUUGCAGGCUGCAACUCGCCUGCAUGAAGUCGGAAUUGCUAGUAAUCGUAGGUCAGCAUACUACGGUGAAUACGUUCCCGGGCCUUGUACACACCGCCCGUCAAACCAUGAGAGUUGGCAACACCCGAAGUCGGUAGUCUAACCGCAAGGAGGACGCCGCCGAAGGUGGGGUUGAUGAUUAGGGUUAAGUCGUAACAAGGUACC